rnacentral:rRNA from 1 species
UACGUAGGGGGCUAGCGUUGUCCGGAAUCAUUGGGCGUAAAGCGCGUGUAGGCGGCCCGGUAAGUCCGCUGUGAAAGUCCAGGGCUCAACCCUGGGAUGCCGGUGGAUACUGUCGGGCUCGAGUCCGGAAGAGGAGAGUGGAAUUCCUGGUGUAGCGGUGAAAUGCGCAGAUAUCAGGAAGAACACCAAUGGCGAAGGCAGCUCUCUGGGACGGUACUGACGCUGAGACGCGAAAGCGUGGGGAGCGAACAGG